AACCGCUGAUAAGGGGANCUCCGAGUGCUNGGCGAUUANAAACGCUGGCUGUUNAGGACUGCCUAAAAAGCAUCUCGAUAGCAAGGGCCGGGCAAAACCGGUGCCAGCCGCCGCGGUAACACCGGCGGCCCGAGUGGUAACCGCUGUUAUUGGGUCUAAAGGGUCUGUAGCCUGCCGGCUAAGUCCCUUGGGAAAUCUGGCAUCUCAAGUGUCAGGCUGCCAGGGGAUACUGGUCGGCUUGGGACCGGGAGAGGUGAGAGGUAC
rnacentral:rRNA from 1 species